rnacentral:rRNA from 1 species
AUUGAACGCUGGCGGCGUGCCUAACACAUGCAAGUCGCACGCGAAAGGGAGCAAUCCCGGGUAGAGUGGCGGACGGGUGAGUAACGCGUAGGAAUCUACCUCGUAGUGGGGGACAACCCGGCGAAAGCCGGGCUAAUACCGCAUACGACCUGAGGGUGAAAGCAGAGGAUCGCAAGACCUUGCGCUAUGAGAUGAGCCUGCGUCCGAUUAGCUAGUUGGCGAGGUAACGGCUCACCAAGGCGACGAUCGGUAACUGGUUUGAGAGAACGACCAGUCACACUGGGACUGAGACACGGCCCAGACUCCUACGGGGGGCAGCAGUGGGGAAUCUUGGACAAGGGGGGCAACCCUGAUCCAGCGACGCCGCGUGUGUGAAGAAGGCCUUUGGGUUGUAAAGCACUUUCGGCAGGGACAAACAAGACGGAGCUAACAUCUCCGUUCCUGAUGGUACCUGAAGAAGAAGCACCGGCUAACUCUGUGCCAGCCGCCGCUGUAAAAC